UGUUCUAGUUAAAAAGUACUAAUAACUAAGUUUACAAUUAUGUUAUCAAACUACCAAAAAAUUCAAGAAACUAUACAACAAGGAACUAUAAGAAGUUAUGUAUAUUUUUUACGAAAUUAUUUAUUUUGAUCGGAAAUCAGGCAUUAACUGUUAUAAAAGUAUUGAUAACGAAUUAUUUAAAAAACGUUGCGAUCGAUCGGUAUGAAAAUGAUUUCUAGUUAAAUAAAUACUAAUUAGUAUCUUUACAAAUAAUAAUAUGUUAUCAAACUAUCAAUAAAAUUACGGAACUAAAAAACUACAAUAGGACGCGAAUAGGUUCAAUUACCAAAGGACAUUGCUAUUUAGCUUCUAUAUUCAAAUAAUUCUUCUUCUAAAUUAUUUACUUUGUUCAGAAAUCUGGCAUUAUCUAGUCUAAUAGUAUUGAUAACGAAUUUAUUUAAAAAACGUUGCAAUUGACCGGCAUGAAUAUGAUUUCUAGUUAAAAAAUACUAAUUAGUAUGUUUACAAAUAAUAAUAUGUUAUCAAACUAUCAAUAAAAUUACGGAACUAAAAAACUACAAUAGGACGCGAAUAGGUUCAAUUACCAAAGGUCAUUGCUAUUUAGCUUCUAUAUUAAAAUAAUUCUUCUUCGAAAUUAUUUAUUUUGAUCGGAAAUCAGGCAUUAACUAUUAUAAAAGUAUUGAUAACGAAUUAUUUAAAAAACGUUGCGAUUGAUCGGUAUGAAUAUGAUUUCUAGUUAAAAAAUACUAAUUAGUAUCUUUACAAAUAAUAAUAUGUUAUCAAACUAUCAAUAAAAUUACGGAACUAAAAAACUACAAUAGGACGCGAAUAGGUUCAAUUACCAAAGGUCAUUGCUAUUUAGCUUCUAUAUUAAAAUAAGUCUUCUUCGAAAUUAUUUACUUUGUUCAGAAAUUUGGCAUUAGCUACUUAAUCUAAAAGUAGUUGAUAGCGAAUUAUUUGCUAAAAAUUAAAGAUAAAAACUAAUGUUGAUAAAACAAUAAAUUUCCACCUAUUGAUCUUUAUUGUUGUAAUCAUCUUUACAAAUAAAUCCUGAUCUAUAUAUUUGUGAUAGGUAUACAUAAAAU